UAAAACUGAGAGACUAGUUCGCAUAGAAACAGACAGAUCGACAUGGCUAUAUCGACUCGGCUGCGGAUAAAGUUCAAAAAUAUAUGGGAUCGGAGAUGUCUCCUUUUAUGCAUUACACAUUUCACGACGCGAUCUCGAGACAGCUAGAUACUCAGCUUUAUCAAAACCAGAAAAGUUAUUAAUACAUGAAUUUAAUUUUCGACGGAUCUUUUCCAUGGCAGCAACAUUUAUAAUACCAACAGAAAAGCGGAUAUCAGCUAAGCUUAGUGUCGAUAGCUCUAAAACUGAACUUGCAUAGAAUCCGACGGAAACGUACACUUUAUUCCUAAUUUUGUUGUCUCUAGCUAGUUAAUUAUCCAAAACAAACUAGUUAAUUAUCCAAUAAGAUUAAAGAUUUGGUCGCCUCUUACGAAUGGUUGUUCAAGCCUUUGUAAUGCCAAUUUUGAGACUAACGAGUUUAUCAUGGGGAUGUUACUGCAAGAUUCCAUUUAGGAUACAGUAAGUAAUCUUCAAACCUACGAAAAAGUGGUUGACAUUCUACCAUUAUUAUUUUUUCCAUGAGUGCUUGCCUGCGUUUUAUUAUGUCCAGUUGCUAAAUAUAUUAAAUGAUUAUAAUUAUAAAAUAUAAUAAAUAUAAGGAAUUAUUAAUUAUUAAGGGAAAUCACAACAAAAAAACAAACAAGAGCAUGCAUAUUGCUCUACCUUGUCAUUUUGCGUCUGUGAAAUCUAGAAAUUUUCCUAGUUUUUUUGCUCCUCAUCAACUUGUAAGGACGAGCAUUGAUCUUUAAAGUUGGGCUUACUACUUACUACGGUAUUCAAAUAUGCCACAUUUGUGAUGUACAGCGGGCCGAAACAAAGUUAGGGAAAGCGCCCCUCAGGGACACUGCAUGCACAGUAUCUUUUCGCUAUUAAAUUGAAUGCGUGUAAGUCCUACUUAAUGACGGGCGAGGGCCAUCACAAUCCUUUGCUGGUCUCUGGGAACAGCACCUGGUUGACACGCAACUCUACGCCAUGUCAAGACUUUUCCUACAUUGGGAUUUUUAAAACACAGUAGAAGCUACUCUCCAGUUUUUUUCCAGACUAGCGCGCAUGGCUACAUCGACUCGGCUACUUAUGAUGAUUAAGAGUAUAUAUAUUUACGUUAUGACAUGGAAUCAGACAACCGUCUUGCUAUACCCUUAUUAUCCUUUUUCAAUGGGUUCAGGGUGAACCUGUAUGGGCCGUGUAACAGUUUCGCGCUGCAAAACUGUCCUUCAUUCGUGCUCUGUGCAGGGCAUUUCCAACAAUUAGAAACAGUUUAGACUUUCGACUCCCACCUAGUCCCACCUAAAAAACCAAAAGACGACUUUUCCGAAUAUAGAGGCGGUAACCAAAGAAAAAAAUAAUAGUGUAAAACACUGAGCUUGAAAAAUAUUUUUAUGGCAUAUAAAUCUCUAUAUAUGAAACUAUUUGCCCUAACUGAUUGGUGAUCAUCGCACAGCACUAACCGUAAGAGCUAUGAAGCUGAAAUUUUCAAAUUGGUUAUCUUAUGUGGUGAAAGUGCACACGAUUUCGGGGAAUGCUAAAGCUAAAAAUGGAAUGUACUCUCAGCUUCGGCUCAAUGGGGGCCGUGCAAGCAAUUAUGUUUGUAUGCGUGUGAAUAUACAUACAUAGCAGCAUAUUUUAAUGUGUUCUGGUAAAGCCUCUGGCUGGCCAAGAAAUACAUUUUUUUAGCUUUCUAGCGCUGAUCAUGAACUAUUCCAAAUUUGUGCUGACUUAUGAAUGCAUGUUUUGUACUGCGGUUCGCUACGUAGAAAAUAUGUAUUUUUAAGUCGAUGCUAAUAUAAACAUAUACAAUUUCUUUAAAUUAAAUAAAUAUUAUUUUUAUACUCCCAUUAAGACUUAUUAAUUACUUGAAAAUAACAAACCAAAAAAAGUAAAAAAAAAAAAAAAAAUAAAAUUUAUCUUUAAUAGCCUCUGUCCACUGAACACAUUUCUCACACAUUUCUGAAAAUGACACAUUUUUGCAAAGUGUGUGAAUUGCGCCUUGGGCGUUUCCCCUAAGAAAACAUAAUUCACGCAUCUUUCAAAAUAGGCUAAUUUUUGAAAAAUGCGUAAACUCGCCCUAAACAUUUCAUGUUUUUUGCGAUGAUUUAUCCAGAUUUGUAUCGAUGUUGUGAAAAAUGGUAAAGUAUCGUAAACAUCAACAGCUGAUAUAUUAACGAAUGCAAGCGACAACUUUAUAUAAGAAAUUUAAAUUAGAAUAACCUCACAGUUUUUAGAAUUUAAACAUGGCGAAAUGUCGAAAAGAGUACCUAAAGUGGAGCCCUUACGGCGAGAGCGCAAUUUUCGAGAUUUUUAUUUAAAGAAACGGUAGUUUUUCCACUAACAUGUCACCGACAACCGAUGGAGCACCUAUAUGUAAAACUUGAAAAUGUGACAAUUCUUAAGCCAGUGGAGAAAGGCUAUAAUAAGAUAAGUAACGCCCUACAACAAGAUGCUACAACAAAUUAAUUUUUAAAAAUUGAAAACGCAAACGAAAUCAGUAUUAUUGCUUUCUCACACUCCAAAGAGCGAAAACUCCAAAAAUGGAAUUUACUUUCAGCUUCCGCUCUGUGAGAGUUGUAUAGGCAAUUGUGUUUGUAUGUAAGUGAAUAUACAUAACAGCAUAUCUAAAUAUGUUGUUAUUCUCUGCUCUGGGUUUUGCUGGCAAAGAAAUAUAUCUCGCUUGUUUCCUACUGCAGACUUUACUAGUCGAUGUAAACGAUGAUUUAUAUAAUUUCUUUAAAUUAAAUUAUUUAUUUUCUUAUCCCAAUUAGGAAAUAAGUAUGCAAAUCUUUUCAUUUUUAAUAUACAUUUUAAAUAUUUUUUUGGGAGCGUAGUAAUAAUUUUCCAUAAUAAAUAGCAGUGUUAGGAAAGCCAAAUAUUUCAAUCUCUGAGCCUGCCCAUGACGGGUUGGCAGCAGCCAAAAGUCCUAUUUGAAUAUAAAUAAAAGUCUAUAUUUUAAAACACUUAUCUAUAAGUUUCAAUUAUUUAUUAUUCAAUAUUUACAUAUAUUUAGAUACGACGAUAUGUCAGUACAGUAUGUCAGACAGUAUCUCAGACGCCACAUCGAUUUUGUUUCUUCAUUAAAUGGAAAGAUACUUUUUAA